UUGAAGGGAAAAUAAUGAAACAGAGGAAAAAAGAGAAUAACAAGUAAAAAGCAAUGCAUGUAAAUACAGAGCAAGCAAGUAGGAAAGCUAGGCAUAGCACAGCAAAAGGGAGCAAAGCAAAAGAAGGCAAAGAAUGACAAAAAGCAACCUUGCAGGAAUGGAGGAAUCUGUCCAGAGCUGUGCCCCUGCUUGCCACAGGAGCUGCGCGGGAGGAGAAGAACGUGGGCCAAAAGGUAAGAGGAGCUCCUUUGGGUUCUGGGCUUGAAGCAAAGCUGAGAAGCCAUGCCCGGGAGGAGGUGUGGGUAGCUACAGGCCACCUUGCUAUCUCCCCAAGAGAUGAGGUGUGUGGGCUAGGC
ensembl:lncRNA